AUGCAGGAACUCAACCAGUCCACCGUGACAGAAUUCAUUCUAUUGGGCUUUGCCCCUAACCCCAGGACCAACCCUCUGCUCUUCACCUUCUUUCUCAUCUUUUACCUGCUCAUCCUUGUGAGCAACAGCCUCCUUAUCACUCUUAUCCACCAGGACUCCCGCCUGCACACACCCAUGUACUUUUUCAUCAGUGUCCUCUCCAUGCUGGACAUGUGCUACACAGCCACCACUGUGCCCCAGUUGCUCGGGCAUAUCCUCAGCAAGAAGAGGGCCAUCUCUUUUGCUAGGUGUGUCGCCCAGAUGUACAUCUUCCUCCUCUUUGGGGUCACUGAGUCCUGGCUCUUCUCCAUCAUGUCUGUUGACAGGUACAUGGCCAUCUGCCACCCUCUCCAGUACAAGGUCAUCAUGAGUCGCUGGAUGUGCCUCCUCAUGGUGGGCAUCUGUGCAGCGUACGGUGUGGUGGGUGGCCUGUGCUAUACCUUCUUUGUUGUGCGCCUGCCCUACUGUGGCCCUAAUGUAAUUGACCACUACUUCUGCGAGGUCUCUGCCGUCCUGAAGCUGGCCUGUGCAGACACAUCCCUCAAUGACUUGGUAGACUUCAUCAUGGGCUUCAAUGUCAUCGUGGUCCCCCUGACCCUGGUUAUCAUCGUUUAUGCCAACAUCUUUGCCACCAUCAUGAAGAUCCGCUCAGCCCAGGGACGGAACAAGACCUUCUCUACCUGUGCCUCCCACAUAACUGUGGUCACCAUUUUCGCCAUUCCAUGCAUCAUCAUGUACAUGAGCCCUGGCUCUGACUCCUUGUCAAACAGUGGCAAGAAAAUGGCCCUUUUUUAUAACAUUGCCACAGCCUUCCUCAACCCUGUCAUCUACAGUCUGAGGAACAAGGAUCUGAAAAAGGCUUUCCUCAAACUUGGGAUGGAGCAGGACCCCAGAGUAA